rnacentral:tRNA from 1 species
GGCCGUGUAGCGCAAUGGUAGCGCGUUACUUUCCGGUUUCAAACUUGUGUGAAUAAGUUAAAUCUCCAGCUGGUAAAGGUUCUGGGUUCGAGUCCCAGCAUGGUCG